rnacentral:rRNA from 1 species
GAUGAACGCUGACAGAAUGCUUAACACAUGCAAGUCAUUGGCGAAGCUGCGCUUGCGCAGUCUAGCCAAGGCGGACGGGUGAGUAACGCGUAAGGAACUUGCCCUGCCGACAGGGAUAACAGACGGAAACGACUGAUAACACCUGGUAUUGUCAGGCUGGCGCAUGCCGUCCUGAUGAAAGGAGACACUGCAGGAGAGCCUUGCGUCCUAUUAGCUAGUUGGUGGGGUAACGGCCCACCAAGGCGAUGAUAGGUAGCCGGCCUGAGAGGGUGAACGGCCACAAGGGGACUGAGAUACGGCCCUUACGCCUACGGGAGGAAGCAGUGGGGAAUAUUGGACAAUGGGGGCAACCCUGAUCCAGCAAUUCUGUGUGCACGAAGAAGGUUUUCGGAUUGUAAAGUGCUUUCAGCAGGGAAGAAGAAAGUGACGGUACCUGCAGAAGAAGCGACGGCUAAAUACGUG